AAAGGACUCUCGCUCGCCUCUUCUUGUGCACAUCCGACACACACACAGACACACAGACGGAGAAGCAGUAGGAGCAGGAGGAGUGGGUUUGCUGUCCGUCUACCGCCUCCACCUUUCCACGCCUUCCUGGAACAGCCGCUUUCGUGUCUCUCUCUCCCUCCCUUUCCUGUGCUCGACCCUUUCACAUCGUCUCGGCACUCGGGCUGUAUUGCCUGUUCCUCCCCCUCCCUCCAAUUUCUUCUGCGUAGCCCCUCCUUCAUCGUCUAUAAGAAUAUUUGCAGACGGGAAGACGACACACACACACACACACACACACACACACACACACACACACACACACGUACAAAAAUGCCGAGCGGCCCCAAGAAUAACAAGUACAUCAACCGCCACAGCGAGGAGGCGCGGCUGCGCGAUGAGGAGCGGCGCAUCGACUCCCGCGCGGCCCGCGAGGCGGCGAAGGAGGACGCGCGGUGGUCCGAGACGGACCCGAAGGUGUUGAAGAAGAUGGAGAAGAAGCGAGAGAUGGAGCAGAAGCAGGAGGCGAAGGCCACCCGUGACGCCGAGAAGAGGGAGCAGCUGGAGGAAGAGGAGCGGGAGAUGAAUGUGAAGGUGCCCAAGAAGGUGGCCCAGCGCCAAAUCCAGAAGGACUUGGCGAAGAUGCUGGCAGACUACGACAAAGAGCGCACCGCCCUUCGAGGCGGCCAGCAUGGCGCGGUGGUCAAGCCGGAGAAGACGGAGGAGGCGCCGCUACCGUCUGGCAACGUGAACCGCGAACGGGGCGUGACUCUGCACGCGGCAGCGGAACAGGAGAGCAACACCAUCAAAGCCUCUGGAACCGUGGCUGAUGUGGUGGCGGCCUUGGAGAAGGGCGGCAAUGCCAGCGGCUCUGCUGAGAUACCUGACAACCGCCAUAUCGGCAAGCGUGCCAAGGUGCUCUAUAAGGCCUUCUACUCAGAGCAUCUGGAGCAGGUGAAGGGGGAGAAGCCGGGCCUUCGUCGCACCCAGUACAACGACAUUAUUUGGGAGAUGUGGCAGAAGAGCCCAACGAAUCCGUUUGUGAUGCGCACCGAGAAGAUCGCGCAUGAGCGGCUGGAAGCGGAGCGGCGGUGGAUGGAGGGUGACUCGGACGGCGAGGACGAGGAGGAAGGGGAGUUCAAGAAUGGCGGCAAGUGUGCGGCCAAGUAGGUGCCUCAGUGAACAGCAUGCGUAGGUCAGAGAGAGAGAGCGUGAGGAGGUGGAGAACGAGAGAGGUACUGCGUGUGGUGUGCUGACACAGUGACGGCUGCAGAUACAGAGAGACACACGCGCGUGCCUAUUCGCAAGCAGCUCGGCCUUUCCCUUGUGGGCGCCUUCUUAUACCCCCUUUUCUUUCUCCUCUUGUGUGUGUUACUUUUUUUUACUGUUGACUUCUCCCUUGACCGUACGCGCAUCGCUCUGUUUCGCUGGCUGCAGCGUCCGCGCGAUGAGUGGCCUCGGACUGUGAUUCUCAUUGCCCGCGCGCCCCUCCUUCUUUUCACACACACACACACACACACACACACAAUAACAGAUGAAGAGCCCUGGUGUCGAGGGAGGAGGAGCCUGCAUGAUUCGAUCCACACCACGUGACAUCUGCCACCGGUACCGUGAUUUCUCUGCGAACCGGCUGCGGUCAGGCGGUAGGAAGGGUGGGGUGGGGUGGGGGCGUCAAGUGAGCCUCCCCUUCCCGUGUCUCUCUUCCUGCUGCUGCCUCUCCCUUUCUCUCUCUAGCACUGCGACUUCGUUGUUGCGGGCGCACGUGUGUACAGGCGUAUGGGAGAGGUCUCCCCCUCCUUGUCUCCUUAUCUUACCAGAGUCGGCGCUGAUGAGUUCCUUUGUUUGCUUCCUCUUC
rnacentral:misc_RNA from 1 species